GUAGAGCUAGAUUUGGGUUAAACUUUAUAGAUGGUUUUCUACAUGGAUAUAUUGUUUAACGACCAACCAAAAUAUCCGAUAACAUCUUAAAUGCUGCUGAAUUUUCUGCAUCUUUCACUCUUGAUUUUGGAUCCCCAAAGGUGAUGAAGGUGCAGCCCUUGGUUUCAACUUGGACUGAGCAUAUGAAUCUUUUACUGUGUGGAGGCCCUUGCUCUUUCUCAACCCUGCAAGUUCCAUCAAUGCAGUGAUAAGGGAUAACAUAAUCUUUGAUUUCUAGCAGUAAGAACAAGAUUCAAGACUUUUUUAUUGAGAUGAUUGAAGGAUAAAAGAUUGAUGAAGCGAUGAUAAUGAGCAUUCCAAGGAUCACUGAACUGAUUGAUGAAUGAGGAAAGAAAGAAAACAGAAGCGAAUGAGAACCACAUAAAAGAUAAGAUGAGCAUGCACAUCUGUUACUGGUAAUAAAUACAUUUUAAGGAUAAUUUUUUUCUCUUACAUCGAUGAUUGCCCAUACAGAUCUUCACUCAUCUUUCUUACUUGAUGAAAUAUGAUGCAGCAAGUGGGAAAACUAAUUUUCUAUUUGGGUGCAUGACAGACAUGUUAGGUGCAUGCUGACAAUUGGUUAUAUAUGUUCUGGUCUAAUUAUCGUCUCCAUUUAAUGCCAGAGUUGUUCAACAAAAAACAUUAUCACCUCAAUUACAUGAUCAAGAACUAAUGUCCAUACACCUCCUGGUGGAAUGGAGUUGCAACACUUGGCAAUUUUUUCUUCUUCGACUUUAACUUAACCAAGGGAAAUCCUAAAAGCUAUUUCUGAUGCCGGACGACUUGGAGGAAUGCUAUUCUCCAAACCUAUGGACCUUUUAAAGGCCUCGAUUGAAGGCCCAAAAAAGAUAGUGAACAUGCUCUUGAGACUAUUGGUGAGAGGCUCACUUUGGCCAGCUACUAUUUGGAGACAAGGUAGAACCAGUGAUGAACUGCUCAGUGUCACUUCAGAAAGAUUAAGGGAUAAGAGCAGGACAGUAGUGGCUGACAGCGAUUGGUGGUGAAGAUGCAAAGAAAGGUGGUAUAGGAUAGGUUGCAGAUUGAUGACACCAGGGAGAGAUAAAGAAAGGAAGACAGAAAAACAAAGGAAGAGAGGGAGUGUAAGAAGCACAGGAGAGAGAAGAAGAAGAGGUUGAAGAACAAUAUCAACAAAAUCAUUUCUCUGGCUUCCCAUCAUAUCUCACAUAUGACUGGAUAAUACACCAUAAAAACCAUAGCACCAGAACUUCCAAAUCCAAUAAUAUGUAUAACCUAAGGCCACUUUCCACAUGGUUACACGGAGUUCCCAAGUGAUCAAAACCAAGGCCUAUCGUACCGAAGCAUACCGCCCAUACCGGGUGGUACGUACCGGUCCGAUAGGUUACAGUACGCGGACCGUCCGGUACCUCUACAGUGCUACAGUACCAACUGUAGCACUGCUACAGUAUGAAAAAAAUAAAAAAAAUAUUCGGUAUGUCCUGAUGUACUGCCCGGUACACCAGUAUCGUACCAUACCGAGCCCGGGUCAAAACGCCAAUACGAUACGGUACAGCGAACUUUGAUUAAAACAUACACAAAGAUAGUUCCAUAUGUGAUGAACAACUAAACUAAAACAAGAAUUAACAAAUCAAACAAAACUCAAACUAGAACCAAAGAUUCUAAGUUAUCAACACAAGUUCGAGUAAGUUUGGCUAAUAUUUUAAGUGCCGUUUUAUAAAGAUACUCCCGAUGCAGCUACACUGCAAUUUAUAUAAAUGCAGAAAAUUAUAACUUGCGGCCACUCUAAUUUUUUUCCUCAUACAGGGCCAUUAAAUAUUGUAUGAUCAUCAUGAUUCUAGUAGCACUGAGCUUCAACUUAAGCUGAUAGAAUGCAGUUACAAACUUAAUAAAGGAAGUAGCAAUCAGCUUCUCUUUCUCAAACAUAUUCUUCCGCUAUCCUCCGAGACCCCAGAAAAAUAUAAUUGAGACAAGGAACAUUUCUAAUCUAAUAUAAUUGAAUAUGAAAUUUCUUGAUGCAGCUCACACUCUGAGGAGAAAUUGAGUUUUUGCCAAGUUAAUCAAGUCCCAUAAAUGUGCCAAUCUUUGAUAAGUUUGAAUUCAGUCCCACAAAUGGAACUACAAAUGCGACUCAUUUUGCCAAGUUAAUCGACACCCAUACAAGCGUAAAUUAUGACUCAAGUUCAUUUUUACUUUGUUUUAUGGGUCUAAUAAGGUCAGCUUAUGAGUUAUGUCACGAUUCAAACACCAUCUCAAUGCAAACUCAGAAUGUUAUUUAUUAAAAUGAUCUACAACACUAGGAUGUCGUAAACAUGCAUCGACUAGGUUACUUUAUUUUCCAACUUCAGUAUGCAUUGGAUUUUUAUUUUAACAUCGUCCAAUAGUGUUUGUUAGAUGCAUGUUAAGGGACACAAAGUAAAUAAGACAAUAGAUAAAGAGAGAAGCAUAUAAGAAUUCUGAAUGGAUGCACCAACAAAGACAAUAUUUUGACUGAUAGUAUAAAUUAAGAUUUCAUUGUUGUUGAAGUUUAUAACAAGGAACUGAGAAAACAAGCUUAACCACAGAAUUGUUUGAACACAUUCAAUCUAAAUAUAACAACACAUCAGGACAAUGUUGUAGAAGUGAAUUGGAAUGAUCCAAUUCACUCAUUGUUUAUUAACUACCACAUUAUUGUGAUGGAAGAAGAAUUGUAAAGCAUUUAAGAGAAAAACAACACAAAACAUCUUGAAAAAAGCAUGUCUGAGAACCCAAAAUUGCCUCAAGAACAGAAUCAUAAAUUCUCAGUAGACUAUAACAAUUAGGGCAGGAAAAAAAGGAAGCUUAAAGAAGAACUUACUUGUAUAUGGGCAUUAUCCAAUGCUUCUUGCUGCAAAACUGGUUUAGUUUCUGCUUGGAUCCAUCUUUCUCCUCUGCAGUUCCAUUGCCUGCGGCCGAGCUCAACUCGACCUCCAUGUCAGCUUCCUCUAAAGUAGACAGCUUUUGCAGCGCAUCUCUCGCAGCGUUGAGCUUUGCGAUUGUCUUCUGCUCCGAGCAACCGAUGCCCAUGAGAUCUCCGUCAACAAAGACGUUGGUGAUGUUCACAAAACCUCUCUUCCAGUUUUUGAUCUCGAUGCUUCUGCCCUGCUUCUGACAGAGCUCGUAGAGGGUCGUCACCGGCUGCUCGUCCAUGUUCUCCGACGUGAUGAUCGGCUCCAGAAUCCCCCUGAAUACCUACGCCCAACCCGCCAUUAGACACACGAAGCACCGAAAAGAAGAUGACGCGUCGAGCUCACCUUCCAGAGCAACUCAAGAUCGAAAUUGCAGUCGACGUAGACGGCGGCGGCGAUGGACUCCACGAUGUCGGCCAACACUUUGGGGGCUUUGACGGUGCUUCCGCCGUACGGAGCCCACCCAAUUUCUUCCUCCCGCUCCAUCAUCACCAAGUUCGUGAAAUCGAACACCUAUUAGGGGAAAAAGUGAAGCGUGAGAGGCCUUGAUCGCACCGAGUCGGAAUCGUCGCAGGGGUGAGGCGGCGCGAGUACCAUUUGAUCGAGUGCAUGUGAGUUGCGGCGGAGGAAACGGUAGAGGCGGUGGCGGACGGCGACGCGGGCGAGCUUUUCGGUGGAGAUGUUAGCGGCGCGUAGGGCGGAGAGGCGUCCGGGGCCGAGGUCCGGGUUGGUGAGGUAGAGGUGGUUGGUGAUAGCGAGGCUGAGGGCUGCAUCGCCGACGAACUCGAGACGCUGGUAUGACCGGUGAUCGGGGUAGGAGGAGUGCGUAAGCGCCUCCGCCAGGAGGGACUGGUCCCGGAAAACGUAGCCCAGAAGACGCUCGAUCUCCGUCACGGCCCGUCGCAGCCCGCCGUCCCUCUCCUCCGCCUCGGGGCAGGAUCGGUUCAUGGUGUGACCGAAGCGGUGGCGGUGGUCGCUCGUCGUCCUCCGUGUCCUUGGGCCUCGGAGCGGUGUGAGACGCUAGUAAACCCAUUAGGGAUCAUCUCCAAAUCGUGCGGAUCCGACUCUUCUUGAAAUUCCACCUCCAACUGAUGAUAUCACAGCCAUCCAUUUGACCACGCGCCCUUCAUCUGACACCACUUGAUGGCUGAGAUGUGAUGUCCGAGUCGUAGUAAGGGUCAAGAUUAGGAUUCAAUGAAUUGUAUUGGUGUGAUUGGAUAAGAUCUUAGGACUUCUUUAGGAAAGGCGUACGGGAUUCCGGGUGGAAGCAAUACAUCUAUCCAACCCUUUCGUUCUUCAACGCAGAGCGAGUUGACUGGAGGAAAGAAGAGGGCCCACCUGGGGACCACCACAACCUUCUAAUAGGCAAAACGGUAAGGCGUCGAAAGUGCCAUGUUCGGUGCGGUGAAAACGCACCGAGAAAAACGUCACGCGAAUCGCACGACGGAUUCUGACCCUGUACGCUUCAAGAUUCGCAAAGUUCAGAUCCAGCGAUAAAACGAGGCCGUGCAUGCGUGCAUCUUUUCCGGAAGCAGUAAUAUAAUUAUUCCCGCAAGUUUUCUACCGCGUCGCCUCGUGGAAGGGUCAAGUGUCAGUGGGACCACUGGAGGGCCCCACUUUUGCCUCAGAGAGGUGCGCGGUGGUAAAACCAGUGGGCCGGUAAAGAGGAAUCGUCUGCAACUGGCCGUCACAUCACGGUCACUCGAUCCAUCUCGUCCAUCAAAUUGUGGGGAAUUCGAAACCAGGAACGGAACAACUGAAGUUACGAAGAGAUGAUGCGGCGCGUCAUUACCGAUGGUACUGCAUGUCUCCUGUUAUGCAGCAGCUUCGUAAGCCAAGUCGUACCGCAAAGCGUGUCGGGCGUUACAAGCGUGACACAUCCACCGCAGGAGCCCACAUAAACUCAUCCGAUAACACUGCCUCGGUUGUGGGCCCCAACGCUUUGCUUAAUAAGAGAGGGCGGCUUUUAUGCGUUCAGAGUUAACUACAUAUUUUAAAUAGAAAUUAGUAUUAAUAAAUAUUUUUAAAUUAUUUCUGAUUUAAAUAUUAUAUUCAAAUAUUAUCUCUGGAUAGUAUUAACAUUUCAGUAUUUAUACAAUGCUAAUAUUUUUUAAAAUUAUAAAAUAUUAUAUGAUUCUAUCUAAAAUUAUAAGAUUGUCAAAAUGAUUUAGUGAGAAACUAAUAUGAUUUCUAUUUUUUAUAAAGAUUAUAUUUAUUUUAUUUAUUUUUAAAGACCAUUAUAUAGAUAUGAUUAUAUAUUUAUUAUAUAUUUGGGCCAUAUGAAAUUUUUAUAAGAUUAUAUGCAUUCAUUUUUUUUUUCUUAUUUUAAAUAAAAAAAUAUGCAGGAUGAAUCAUCAGAAAAAAUUUAAAAAAUAGAUCGAGCAAUAUGAAAAAAUAGAGAAAUGAAGGAAGAAAAAGAUAAGUGGAUGGGGUUAUUUAAAGUAUUAGAUUUUAAAAUAUUACUAUUUAAAGUCCAUUCUUAUUAUUCAGAACUCUUUACCAUUCUCUUAGAAAAAGAAAUAAAAUAAUAUUUUAUUAUUUAUAACUCUUCUGGUUUCGCGUUAAACACAUCGUCUCCCAUAUACUCUACUAGAUAAUUUGUGAAAAUCCAAACAUGAAAUCUUCUAAGUUUAUUUUUCAUCUCUUAGAGUUGUAGUUUAUCUCAUCUCAACAUAUACAAAUACAUACAUACAUAUGAUGGACCUACGUGUCAAUCACUGUCACGUGGGACAACACAUUGGAGCCUCAAAGUCAACCCAAGAAAUCCUGUCUAUGAAAGCUGCUUCAAGAGCUUAAGAGUGGGAAUGCAAAGAUUGACAAAUAUUUGACAUAAUAAGAUCUUGCAAUCAAUUCUCAUUCGAAACUAAUUUCACAAUAUCUGCUUGAUAUAAAAAGUAUAAUGGAUAAAUUUAAAUAUCCAUCACUAUUGUUUGUACGAAAGGAUAUCAUAUUUUACAAGAAAAAAAAUUUUUUUUUUGAGCAAUUGAGAAGAUUAGCAGGACCACAAAUCAUGGCAGGAGAAAAGAGGCAAUACAAAAGAGAACAUUUACAUGACUAAAAGUCGAGCUAGAUUUGGGUUAAAUUAUAGCUGGAUUUCUACAUGGAUAUAUUGUUUAACGACCAACCAAAAUAUCGGCUAACAUCUUAGAUGCUGCUGAAUUUUCUGCAUCUUUCACUCUUGAUUUUGGAUCCCCAAAGGUGAUGAAGGUGCAGCCCUCAGUUUCAACUUGGACUGAGCAUAUGAAUCUUUUACAGUGUGCAGGCCCUUCCUCUUUCUCAAUCCUGCAAGUUCCAUCAAUGCAGUGAUUAGGGAAUAUAUAUAUCUUUGUUUUCUAGCAGUAAGAACACGAUUGAAGACUUUUUUAUUGAGAUGAUUGAAGAAUAAAAGAUUGAUGAAGCAAUUCUGAAUGGAUGCACCAACAAAGACAAUAUUUUGACUGAUAGUAUAAAUUAAGAUUUCAUUGUUGUUGAAGUUUAUAAGAAGGAACUGCGAAAACAAGCUUGACCACAGAAUUGCUUGAACACAUUCAAUCUAAAUAUAACAACACAUCAUGACAAUGUUGUAGAAGUGAAUUGGAAGGAUCCAAUUCACUCAUUGUUUAUUAACUACCACAUUAUUGUGAUGGAAGAAGAAUUGUAAAGCAUUUAAGAGAAAAACAACACAAAACAUCUUGAAAAAAGCAUGUCUGAGAACCCAAAAUUGCCUCAAGAACAGAAUCAUAAAUUCUCAGUAGACUAU
rnacentral:lncRNA from 1 species